rnacentral:rRNA from 1 species
CACGCUAGCAGUAUCCAGAGUACCACAGGACACGAGGAACCCUGUGGGAAUACGGGUGGACCAUCAUCCAAGCCUAAAUACUACCUGGUGACCGAUAGAGAAGCAGUACCGUGAGGGAAAGGUGAAAAGGACCCCGGGAGGGGAGUGAAAGAGAACCUGAAACCUUGUGCCUACAAGCACCGAGAGCAUGUUAAUGUGUGAUCGGGUACUUUUUGUAGAACGGUCCGGCGAGUUAAUGUAUGCAGCAAGGUUAAGAAACUGGAGUUUUGGAGCCGAAGCGAGAGCGAGUCUGAAUAGGGCGAGAAGUUGCAUGUAUUAGACCCGAAACCGGGUGACCUAUCCAUGAGCAGGCUGAAGUUGCGGUAAGACGCAAUGGAGGGCCGCACCCACGUUCGUUGAAAAGACCGGGGAUGACUUGUGGAUAGCGGAGAAAUUCCAAUCGAACUCGGAUAUAGCUGGUUCUCCCCGAAAUAGCUUUAGGGCUAGCGUUAUGAUAGAUUACCGGAGGUAGAGCACUGAAUGGGCUAGGGGCCGCGAGGUUACUGAACCCUAUCAAACUUCAAAUGCCGGAUAAUUGUUUCAUGGCAGUCAGACUGUGUGAGAUAAGUCGCAUAGUCAAAAGGGAAACAGCCCAGAUCUACAGCUAAGGUCCCAAAUGAAUACUAAGUGGAAAAUGAUGUGAAAUUGCUAAGACAACCAGGAUGUUGGCUUAGAAGCAGCCACUCAUUCAAAGAGUGCGUAAUAGCUCACUGGUCGAGUGAUUUUGCGCAGAAAAUUUAACGGGGCUAAGUAUUCAACCGAAGCUUAGGCAGUAU